GAUCCUUAACCCACUGAGUGAGGCCAAGGAUUGAAUCUGCAACCUCAUGGUUACAAGUCAGAUUCAUUUCCACUGCUCCACAAUGGGAACUCCUCCUGGAACAACUCUGGACCCAGAGACACCUGGCUUGAAUGUUAGACUUGCAGAUCUUUCAAAUAAUCCUGGUGGGGAGUUUGGCUUCUGGGAUUCUGGUCAUGAAUGCAGUGUCCCCCUGUGGUGGUUUUUGGGGCAUGGGCUGUACCCAUGGCUGGGUUUUUCUCUCCAGAUAUCUGCACAACUUUCAUCUUCCCUCUGCACCUGGCCGAGUUGCUUCAGCCUCUACAAGACACAUAUUUGAAGGAAGUUCUCUCAAUCCUGGUAAGGAAAGUGAGUGAAAGGACAUCUACAUCCUCCUCCUUCCCACUCCACCUGAGCCACCUACGCCUCUUCAGGGGGCCCCAAGGGACCUACCUUAAUCCAGAUCAAGUGAGUGAAGCCUGGGAUCCUGGAUCUCAAGGUGGGUGCAGGGCUGAGGGGCACUGAUUGAGGACAACUGGCUACCUUGACUUACUAAAUGAGGUGUCUGAUUCAGGGAGUGGGGUGUUCUAAGUUGGGGUGAGUGCUCUGGCCAACUUUGAGAUAGUCCUAUGCCUGCCCAUCAUACAUUUCAAUGCACUGCACGGGAGAGGAAUCAGGAAAUCAGGCUGGAAACUACCCAGGCCAGUGCAGACCUGGAUUCUGCUGGGGAAGGCCUGGGAGUUGCUGUUGGAGCAGAUUAUCAACAGAUGGAGGCAGGGCACCAGCAGAGCUCCUCCCCUAAGGUGAAGCUUACAGACUUCACCUCAGGCUCAGGGGCAAGGUUGGAGAUGUGCUCCUGACACCCCAAGGAGGCGCCCCAGAGCCUUCCAUUUUGGUACAUUAUGCCCCUGAAACUGUGGCCAAUUUGGCCUCCUCUGAGAGUGGGGAAAUAAUUCUGCCAUCACAUCUCUGGUGUAAUUCCUUCCUCGUCACUUGGCCCAACGGCUAGAGAUUUUGACAGACUGGCCUGGGUUCUGAGUGCCCUUUGACUGUCUGGAGGCAGAUCUCUGGAUCCACAGGUACCUGGUUUGAGUCUUGGGUGCGCAGUUUUCUAGAAUCACGAUGGAGUGCAGCUUGACUUCCGGAAAAGUGGACUUCAGGUUAUGAAUAUGACCAGACGAUCCAAAUGGCAGUUAUCUUGGGAUGUACAGUGCUGGUGUCUGUGCCUUUUCUCUCCAGCGGUCUCCUCUACGACCCCCUCCUUCCCUCCCAUGUUAGCCUCUACCACCCCCAGGGACAAGGAACACACCCAAAUCCAGGUAACGUGGAAAAGGUUGGGUGAUCUUGAUUUCAAGUUGGGUCCAACAUUGACGGCUGCUGACUGAGUCAAAAACUGCUCACUUGAUUUCAAUAGGGGUGUGGGGUGGGGUUGUGUCACAUCUGUGGGUAAUUGCCCUGAUGCCCUUGAGAUAGGCAGAGAGUGAGAGGAAUAAAAAAUCUUGCUGGAAGGAGUGCCAGGCCAGAGCAGAGCAGGGUUCUGCUGAGGAGGCAGAGGAAGGGCUGGGAAUUGCUGUUAGAGCACAUGUCCACCAGAUGGUGACAGAGCACCAGCACAAACUCCCCCUCCCCUUGCCUGAGUCUCCACAGCUACCUGGCUGCAACUCAAGACUCAAAUGUAUGUUGGAGAUAGGUUGGUGGAAGCCCAAUGUGGUGCCCAGAGCUGGGGCCUGGUUAUAGGGCAUUUCCAAGUCUCUGGGCAAUGUCCCUGCUCUCAGACGAGGGGAUGGAGUAAUGCCGUCACAUCUCAGGUACAUUCCCUCACUGUCCGGUGCCCAAUGCCUAGAGAGUUUGACAGGCUAUCUCAAAUUUGAGUCGCCUUUGCUUCAUGCAAGGCCCACCUCUGGACCCAGAAUUCCCUGGCAUGAAUUUUGGUUAUCCAGUUUGCUCGUGUCAGACUGAUUCACAUAGAGUUGAGCUUCUAGAAAGCUGGCCUUCUUGUUGUGAGUGUACUGUGUCAACCCAGUGCUUUUGGGGGGCAGGCUGCACUCAUGCCCAUGCUCUUUCUCUCUCCAGAUCUCCUCAAACUUCUUCCCUCACACCCGAGUUUCUUCCCCCCCAGGAGUCUCCUGGUGCAUGGAACUGACCAGAAACUGGGGUUCCCCAAAGCCUCUGUCUGCCUUCUGCAGCUGAGCUGCUUCAGCCUCUGUGGGACACCCAUUUGAAGGAAUCUGUCCAAAUCCAUGUAAGAGAUCUCCUCUUAUUUUUUUCCCUCCCACCUGAGGCUCUUCCUCCUCACUAGACACCUGUUCCAAAGAAGCUCCUGCAACUAGGUAAGAUGAAUCAAGCCUGGGUGGUCCUUGGUUUCUAUCUGGGUCCCAGGGCUGAAGGGUGCCGAUUGAUUCAGAGCCGGCUGAAGUGACUUACAGAGCUGGG